rnacentral:rRNA from 1 species
UGUAGUCAUAUGCUUGUCUCAAAGAUUAAGCCAUGCAUGUCUAAGUAUAAGCAACUUUGUACUGUGAAACUGCGAAUGGCUCAUUAAAUCAGUUAUAGUUUAUUUGAUGGUUUUUGCUACAUGGAUAACUGUGGUAAUUCUAGAGCUAAUACAUGCAUUCAAGCCCCGACUUCCGGAAGGGGUGUAUUUAUUAGAUAAAAAUCAACUUUGUUGGUGAAUCAUAAUAACUUCUCGGACCGCAUGGCCUCGUGCUGGCGGUGCUUCAUUCAAAUAUCUGCCCUAUCAACUGUCGAUGGUAGGAUAGAGGCCUACCAUGGUUGCAACGGGUAACGGGGAAUAAGGGUUCGAUUCCGGAGAGGGAGCCUGAGAAACGGCUACCACAUCCAAGGAAGGCAGCAGGCGCGCAAAUUACCCAAUCCCAACACGGGGAGGUAGUGACAAUAUGUAACAAUAUACGGCCUUAUACGUCGUAUAAUUGGAAUGAGUACAAUUUAAAUCCCUUAACGAGGAACAAUUGGAGGGCAAGUCUGGUAUCG